GACGAACGCUGGCGGCGUGCCUAAUACAUGCAAGUCGAGCGAACAGACGAGGAGCUUGCGCGUCUGUCGUUAGCGGCGGACGGGUGAGUAACACGUGGAUAACCUACCUAUAUGACGGGGAAAAUUUCGGGAAACCGGCGAUAAUAGCGGAUAAUAUACUGAACCGCAGGGUUCAAUAGUGAAAGACGGUUGUGGUGGCAGUAAUAGAUGCAUCCGAGCCGCAUUAGCGAGUUGGUAAGGUAACGGCUUAUCACGGCGACGAUGCGUAGCCGACGUGAGAGGGUGAUCGGCCACACUGGAGCUGCGCCGCGGUCCAGGCUCCUGCGGGAGGCCGCAGUAGGGAAUCUUCCGCAGUAGGCGAAAGCCUGACGGAGCAGCGCCGCGUGAGUGAUGAAGGUCUUCGGAUCGUAAAGCUCUGUUAUUAGGGGAAAACAAAUGUGUAAGUAGCUAUGCACGUCUUGACGGUACCUGGUCAGAAAGCCCCGGCUAACUACGUG
rnacentral:rRNA from 1 species